CUUUGCUUCAGGCAAACAUUUCUGAGAAGUGAAUAAUCCUGGACAUUAAGUGGAAUUCUAUGAAGACUAAGCUCACGGAAAAGGAAAAACAUGAAAAAGAAAACCCAUCUAAAGCCAUGAUGAUGAAACAGUUAUGGAGAAGGGACUAUAGUUGUCAGCAUGACAGAUGGAAUCAUACUUUUAUUGAGGAGCAACACCAAGAACUACAAAUCUUCUCCAGUCUGCCUGUCUUGAGUCCAAGAAAAUACAUGUGCAGUCUUCUUGUCUGAUUCUUGUAAUGACCCUGUGAAACAGAUUAGCCAAAAAGAUGCAGGCUAAUUAGUUAAAUGAUUAAACAGGGAUACGAAUCCUUCCAAUGUUCAUUGCUUAAUCAAGGCCUGGAAAAAUGUGACACGAAAGACCAAAAUCUAUCAUGAAGACAGUAUUAAAGGUUUGUCCUUUAUUUAUUUUUUUCAAGAAAAUCUGGUCAUCAUAGUUAUAACACAGCUAGAGAACCUCAGCUUCUACAAAGCUGUUCUAGCUGUUAAAAAACAUAUUAUUGACUAAGACUUCUUGCAAAAUACAGUCUUAUGGAGGAAAGUUCUUGACUAUGAAGGACCAUGAAGGGAAGAAGCAUCUGAAUCCUGAAACAAAGAACAAAGAAUGAACAGCAUUCUUUCUAGCUCUUCCAGGAAUGAAGUCAUAAAAGAUGUAUAAAGUUUUUUAUUUCCUCUGUGUUUGCCCAAGAUAUUGGUAGGACAGAAUAGCCCAACCAGAUGAUUUACUAUGUAUUAAUAUAUCUGGAUGAGGACAAAUAUGCAAGAAUCCUUUGGAAGUGGAAAAUCCAUCUGUUUCAAUGCAUAGCAUUUUAAGUACUAGUGAAAGUGAUGGACUGGACAUGUCAGAAUGUUCUUUGGUGGCUUUGAUGAAACUGCACCUAUUUAUGCCAGUGUCCAAUUGAGAAUGUGAGCAUAAUCAUCAAGAGCUGCAGAUGCCCACCAGCCUAACACUGGAGCAUUAGACUUAAUUUAGACAAGUUUAGUUUGAAUUAGCUCCAUAAAGAAAGAAAAGAAUUCCAAGAACACUUUGAAGUCAUUUUUAGUUGUUGUUUAUCUUUUCUUCAUUUAAGUGAUGUGUGUCUCUUGAGUUUGUAUUAUAAUGAUGGGUCUUUGAAGCAUGUAAUUACUGUCUUAUUUAAAUGCAGCUCAGUGCAGGAGAUGGGGAUGCUUUGCAGAGUGUGAUUUUUUUUUUUUUGCCUUCAUUUAUUUCCACUGCCACAAUGGUGGGGCUAUUGUAAAACAAAACACAACACCAUCUUUAAAAAGCUGCAGUGAAGCUACUGAAAGUUAUGAGAUAUGGAAUGGCUUGACCGGAAAAAUAAAAUCAGAACACAGAUGCACACAAAAACUCUAAAUAAUUAAAAAUGGGGAGGGGAAAUCUCUGCAGUUAUGAUCCACAUCACUUUUUGGGUAAAAGGGAAUACAAGAAAAGUAUCUGAGCUCUAGCAGGAGUUAUCAGGUUUUUCUGAAUAUGAAGCUCCUCACCCUAUUUUGGCAUUUAAAAUUCAUUACAAUGGCACAAAGCCAUGGUCAAGUUUUAAGGGAGUAAACAAAUUUUAGUCUGUUCUACAGUUCUGUCCUCUUCUUUCCAUGAAUUUUUAAGUUACAGGGCAAGAUGACACUGCUGGGGUUAGAUUGGGCGAAAGCAAAAAAUGAAUGGACGAGUGAAAGAGAAAGGGAAGAAAAUCUGUUACAUUCUACUGUAUAUUCUAUAUCUAUUUAUGUACAUCACAUAUCCACUUUAAUUUUCCAGUACAUCCAGAAGAACGUGUGCCCAUUCCUAAUUUACUAUUUGAAAAAUAAAAACAAGGUAAUUUGUUUAUUCAUGUCAGAAGCAUCACAAUUAAAAUAAGGCAUACUGUAUGAGAUAAAAUUUAAAAUAUAAGAUUAAAAACAAGGCAGUGAAUUUGGGACUCAUGAUGAUGAAAGUAGCUUCCCUGAAGAAUGUGUGCUGUUAAAACAUUCAGGCAUCUCCUGGGCAACAGCUUAUAACUGGCUAAUCCUUUCAAUUCAGAAGCAUCCAAAGUGUAGUGAGGUGCUCAUUUCCACAAGGUAGUGAAUCUGGGUGUCUGCAGGAAGUGGUCAGGAAAUCAAGAUGAUGCAAUGCACACAAAAACAGGUAAAGCUUCAAGCUCAUUGCUGCAGCCGCUGUCAGUCCUAUUGAGCAGUCCAGACUAAGAAAUCAAUGUCAUACAGGUCCAAAACUAUUUUUAUUAGAGUAGCUAUAGUAACAGAAUCCUGUUAAAAUUUGGGGAGGCUGUCUGGUUUUUUCCCACUCAAGUUACUUUCUUGGAAUGAACUCAACUUGAACUUAUCUGAUCAUUGCUUUGGUGAUAGAUUUUCCCACUAUCCUUCAAGUGUAUUUUCUAUGUACUCUGCAACUACCAUCUUGACUUUCUGCCCACAUCCUGUGAACACCUUUUGUGCAACAGCAGGAAUAUUAU